GACGAACGCUGGCGGCGUGCUUAACACAUGCAAGUCAAACGGAAAGGCCCUGCUUGCAGGGUACUCGAGUGGCGAACGGGUGAGUAACACGUGGGUGAUCUGCCCUGCACUUCGGGAUAAGCUUGGGAAACUGGGUCUAAUACCGGAUAGGAACCAUCUUUAGUGUGGUGGUUGGAAAGUUUUUUCGGUGUAGGAUGAGCUCGCGGCCUAUCAGCUUGUUGGUGGGGUAAUGGCCUACCAAGGCGGCGACGGGUAGCCGGCCUGAGAGGGUGUACGGCCACAUUGGGACUGAGAUACGGCCCAGACUCCUACGGGAGGCAGCAGUGGGGAAUAUUGCACAAUGGGCGCAAGCCUGAUGCAGCGACGCCGCGUGGGGGAUGAAGGCCUUCGGGUUGUAAACUCCUUUCGCUAGGGACGAAGCUUUGUUGUGACGGUACCUAGAUAAGAAGCACCGGCUAACUACGUG
rnacentral:rRNA from 1 species